ACGAACGCUGGCGGCGUGCUUAACACCUGCAAGUCGAGCGAGGCCCCUCCUUCGGGAGGGUGUCCUAGCGGCGAACGGGUGAGUAACACGUGGGCAACCUGCCCUCAGCUCUGGGAUAACUCCGGGAAACCGGGGCUAAUACCGGAUACGACCUCCACGGGCAUCUGCGGAGGUGGAAAGUUUUUCGGCUGAGGAUGGGCCCGCGGCCUAUCAGCUAGUUGGUGGGGUAGUGGCCCACCAAGGCGACGACGGGUAGCCGGCCUGAGAGGGCGACCGGCCACACUGGGACUGAGACACGGCCCAGACUCCUACGGGAGGCAGCAGUGGGGAAUAUUGCGCAAUGGGCGAAAGCCUGACGCAGCGACGCCGCGUGAGGGACGAAGGCCUUCGGGUUGUAAACCUCUUUCAGCAGGGACGAAGCGCAAGUGACGGUACCUGCAGAAGAAGCACCGGCCAACUACGUG
rnacentral:rRNA from 1 species